rnacentral:rRNA from 1 species
AUGAACGCUGGCGGCGUGCCUAAUACAUGCAAGUCGAGCGAACAGACGAGGAGCAUGCUCCUCUGACGUUAGCGGCGGACGGGUGAGUAACACGUGGAUAACCUACCUAUAAGACUGGGAUAACUUCGGGAAACCGGAGCUAAUACCGGAUAAUAUAUUGAACCGCAUGGUUCAAUAGUGAAAGACGGUUUUGCUGUCACUUAUAGAUGGAUCCGCGCCGCAUUAGCUAGUUGGUAAGGUAACAGCUUACCAAGGCAACGAUGCGUAGCCGACCUGAGAGGGUGAUCGGCCACACUGGAACUGAGACACGGUCCAGACUCCUACGGGAGGCAGCAGUAGGGAAUCUUCCGCAAUGGGCGAAAGCCUGACGGAGCAACGCCGCGUGAGUGAUGAAGGUCUUCGGAUCGUAAAACUCUGUUAUUAGGGAAGAACAAAUGUGUAAGUAACUAUGCACGCCUUGACGGUACCUAAUCAGAAAGCCACGGCUAACUACGUG